AUGGCUGGCGGAAUUGUGACCGUGGCGAGCGGGGUGAUGAACCCCCUCAUCGGCAAGCUCACCGCACUCAUGGGCGACGAGUACACCAAGUUCAAAGGGGUCAAGAAGCAGGCGUCCUUCCUCCAGGAGGAACUUAGCGCCAUGAAUGCCGCCCUCCAGAAGCUGGAGCUCAUGGAUGACGAGCUCGACCCAAACAUCAAGGACUGGGGGGACCAUGUCAGGGAGAUGUCCUACGACAUGGAGAAUUGCAUCGACGACUUCAUCCGUCAGUCCCGAGCUGACGAUGCCAAGAGAAGCUUCAUCAAGAAUACUGCUCGACGCAUUAAGAAGAUGCGAGACCGUCUUCGUAUAGCCCACCAGAUGGAAGAACUCAAGACCCUCGCUAUAGAGGCGAAUUCUCGGCGCCAGAGGUAUAAGGUUGAUGAUUGGAAGCCUGCCUCCGGCUCUGUGGAUGUUGACCCUCGGCUGCGCGCGGUCUUCCAGGAGGCAGAUUCUCUCAUUGGCAUUGAUGGCCCAAGGGAGGAGGUUGCAACUCGGUUGAUGGAUACUCAAAAGAAUCUCAAAGUGGUGUCAAUUGUGGGAUUUGGUGGCCUUGGCAAAACUACACUUGCCAAACAGGUGUAUGACAAGAUUGGCUCACAAUUCGAUUGCAAGGCAUUUUUUUCAGUUUCGCAGAGACCUGAUAUGAGUGAAUUACUCAACAAUUUACAAUAUAAACUUGGGAUGAAGAAUCCUGAUACAUCCCACACUCGGAAGGUUGACGAUAUCAUUGAAGAGCUAAGACAACAUCUGAAAAAUAACAGGUACCUUAUUGUUGUUGACGAUGUGUGGGAUGAAUCAGCAUGGAAUAUUAUUAAGUGUGCUUUUCCAGAAGUGGGCAAUGGAAGUAGAGUAAUAGUCACAACACGAGUGGAAGUUGUGGCCGGCGCAGCCUGUCAGAAUGACCGUGAGGGCAUUUACAGAUUGAAACCUCUCAGUGAAGAAAACUCAAGAAUGUUAUUGCUCAAUAGAGUAUUUGAGUCCGAACAUGGUUGUCCACCACAACUUGAAGACAUCAUGGCUGAGAUUUUGAACAAGUGUCAUGGGCUGCCACUUGCUGUUAUAACAAUAGGUAGCCUAUUAGCCAGUCAAGAAAGAUCAAGGAAGGGCUGGGAGAGUAUAAGGGAUUCUCUGGGUGCUCACUCUGCCACAAAUCCCACAUUAGAAGAGAUGAAGAGUAUAUUAAACCUUAGCUACAUGCAUCUUCCUGCUCAUCUGCGGGCAUGUUUUUUGUACCUUGGUAUGUAUGUUGAGGACUAUGAGAUCUCACGGGAUGAUCUUGUUCGACAAUGGAUCGCUGAAGGCCUUGUAGGUAAUUUGCAGGGGAGAGAUAUGGAGGAUGUUGGCAGGAAUUAUUUCAAUGAACUUAUCAAUAGAAGCAUGAUUCAGUCUUGUGAAACGGAGUGUGGAGAGGUAUUGUCUUGCAAAGUACAUGAUAUAAUGCUUGAUUUGAUCCUAAGCAAGUGUGCUAAAGAUAAUUUUUUAAGUGUGGCAUACAAUUAUGAAGACAUGGCAAGACUGCAUGCCAGCAAAUACAAGAUCCGGCGAUUAUCUCUGAGCUCUAUGGCUAGUGGUGGAGCAACAUAUGGACCAACUAUUGGUGUUAACCUAUCACAAGUUCGGUCGUUUACAUUGUUGGGGAAAUCCAUGCCUCCUCUUGUGUUGUUCAAGUAUCUCCGGGUGAUUAGGAUUCAUCGAGGUAGUACUCGGGGAGACGGGGAGAUACUUGACCUCAGCGCUAUUAGCCAAUUGUUUCAGUUGAGGUAUUUGUAUGUUUGGGGACCAUAUUUCGUACAGCUCCCUGCUAAACUUCAGGGGCUUCUUUACUUGCAGACACUGCACAUAGAUUCACCGCUCGACAGCAUUCCUUCAGAUAUAGUCCAUUUGUCCCACUUGUCCUAUCUUUAUAUUUAUGAAUGCACCCACAGACUGCUGCCUGAAUGGAUUGGUAAUAUGAAAUCACUGAACAGUCUGAGAAUGUCGGUAGGCCUUAUGACCGGUCAGAGUGAAUUGAAUGGGAUGAACGGUAUUAUGGGUCUUGGCGAGCUAACCAAUCUCAGGGACCUAACGAUCGACAUGUAUUCUUUGGAGAAGCCAGAACUUGAUGCUUUGGCCUGCUCCAUUGGAAAGCUCUAUAACCUCAAAUAUCUUCAGUUGUAUGGGUGCGAUACUAAAAUCCAUAGCCAGAUGGACUCAUUAUCCAAUCCUUUCCAACACAUCGAGAAAAUUGACAUGCCUGUGUUGAAUUUCUGUAGAGUUCCCAUUUGGAUCGGUGGUCUCCAUUGCCUUCGCAUCCUUGACCUGUGUGUGGACGAGACCUCGACUGACGAGGUUGGUCUUCUUGGAGAGCUUCCCUCCCUCGUCAAACUCAUAUUCAGGCCGUCACAUGUCCCUAAAGAAAGGGCUAUACUAGGCACGGGACUGUUCCCUGUUCUAGAGUACUUCGGAUUUUGGACUAAGGAAGACGCUAUGGCAUACCUGGGAUUCGAGGCGGGGGCCAUGCCCAACCUACGGACCCUCAUUCUUCGUAGCAAGGAGUGGGGUGGCAGUAUACCAGUUGGGAUGGAGCACCUGUUAUGCCUCGAGAAGAUCAAAGUGUAUCGGGAUUACCCCCGUGAUGCAGCAACCAUGGUUUCUGCGUUCAGGGAUGCCUUAUCAUUGCACCCCAACGACCCUUCCGUUGAAUGGUCACAAACAGUUUGA
rnacentral:rRNA from 1 species